rnacentral:lncRNA from 1 species
AAGCUCAGAAAGUCUUCCUUUUUAGGAAAACAUAUAGGAGGUACUGAGCACUGCAGAUCUGUUAGCUCCAAAUGUAAUUCCAGUGUGUUAUUAACUGGAGGAUCAGCCGUGCUCCAUUGUACACAUCUCCAAGGCAAACCACAAUGAUAGAAAGUGCUGCUUCUGUCCAAAACCAGUAUCACCAGUACAUCUCUCCUCUCAUC